AUUGAACGCUGGCGGCAGGCCUAACACAUGCAAGUCGAGCGGAUGAAGGGAGCUUGCUCCUGGAUUCAGCGGCGGACGGGUGAGUAAUGCCUAGGAAUCUGCCUGGUAGUGGGGGAUAACGUCCGGAAACGGGCGCUAAUACCGCAUACGUCCUGAGGGAGAAAGUGGGGGAUCUUCGGACCUCACGCUAUCAGAUGAGCCUAGGUCGGAGUAGCUAGUUGGUGGGGUAAAGGCCUACCAAGGCGACGAUCCGUAACUGGUCUGAUAGGAUGAUCAGUCACACUGGAACUGAGACACGGUCCAGACUCCUACGGGAGGCAGCAGUGGGGAAUAUUGGACAAUGGGCGAAAGCCUGAUCCAGCCAUGCCGCGUGUGUGAAGAAGGUCUUCGGAUUGUAAAGCACUUUAAGUUGGGAGGAAGGGCAGUAAGUUAAUACCUUGCUGUUUUGACGUUACCAACAGAAUAAGCACCGGCUAACUUCGUG
rnacentral:rRNA from 1 species